ensembl:lncRNA
GGCAGAAUAGUGCCUGCCUGCCUGCCAGCCAGAAGGCUCCACCCACUUCUUUAGUAGAAGUGACAACAGGUGUGGUCGUGGAAACACCUGGACCUCAUCUCCUCGCCAAGCCUCUCUCAAGAAAAAAACCCAGAGACCCACUCAAUCGCAGCGGCCCACAGCAAUUGCAGUGCUCCCCAGUGUGGACAGCUCCAUCCAUUGUGUGUGAAUAAUAUCCAAGGUCACUGUGUACUCAGAGGGUGAUCAUAAAAAACAUACUGCUUCUAACCACAGGCCCGAGCACUGAAUUAGACGGAUGCUGAGAGACAGAAGCACAGAGAUGAAGUGACGGUGGGAUGGAGUGAUGAAGAAGAAGGAGAGAGGUGCCAAGAGAGGGAACCAUCUGACGGCAAAAGCUCCAACAAGCUGCCUAAUUGGGCACAAGAGGCAAAAAAGAACUUUGGUGGCGAAACACUUCAAAACACUUUCUAAUACCGUGUAAACACAUCCAGGAGGGGAGCAUACCAGCGUACGUGCUGCGGCCAGUGAUUCAUCAUCCUCCUGCAGCCGACGAGAUGAGACUCUGUCCGUCAGCUCCAUUGUGUCGGGAUAACACCCUGAUAAUUAUCUGCACGGCUGCUCUCCUCUUCUCUUCACGCCUCACGUCUGAGUGGGAAAGACAAAGAGCAAGUUUGUAAAAGGGCCUGAAAACUUAGUUAGGUGGUAAGGACGUGGAAAGAGAAGGCGACAGUCGGGGGGAGGGGGGGGGGGGGGUUAGGGGAGGGGCAGGCAGUCGAGCAGACAGAGGAAAAGAGAGGAAGGAGAAAUGAUGAUGAUGAGUGUGGAUAGGCAGGGCGAAUUGAAUCUUUUAAUCUCCCAAAGUGGGAAGAAAGCGACCCGAGGCAUUUGUGAUUGGAUUUACUUUAAGUCCACAAGUAGGUCAAUAGAGCUAGCGUUGCUCAUUAGCAAAGAGGGAGGAGAGGCGUUGGGAGGAGAGCAAGGAAAAAGUUUUGUGUCGAUACAGUGAGCAUCAUUCAUUCGCCCUUUUCUCCUCAGAAGGGGGGGGGUGAAGUUUGGCUGUGUGGCUUUUUGUUUUUGUCAGUCUGAAAAGGGUACUUGAGAAGAAGGCAGCAACUAUAAUAUAAGUCUUGCAAAAGGGCAUUUACAGUUAAUAUCAAUCAAGAUUCUGAUUUCUGAAACCGAGAGGCCUUGAUCAGCCAAAUGAAAGCGACCUGAGGUCAGCAAAGCAGAAAAUACAUGAGGCUGCAUUUGAAAUUCUCAAAAUGAGAAUGGCUGCGUGGCGUACGGAUGAAAGCAUCUGGUUUUGGCAUUUGGCUGGAUAAUAAAGUAUAAUAAUAGUAAUAAUAAGUGCUAAAAGCUUUGUGUAAUUCAUCUUUCCCAGAUUUCCUUCUGCACAAUUAGAUCCUGUUACUAAAGCAUAAUUAGCAACAGGAUGCCAAAGGCAAUUGGAGAGAGGAAGAAACAAGGUGGCAGAGCUGCGGGAAUCAAUGAGAAGAAACUAAAAGGUUAAGUUGAGUGGGGCAC